rnacentral:lncRNA from 1 species
GUUUUAAAUUGCGGUCCGCAUCCGCAAUUGCGGCCGCAGUAUUGCUGAUGCAGUAGCCACCGCAACCGCAUCGCACCGCAAUUGCGGUGUGAUCUUAAUUCACGUGUACGGCCGCAUCGUAACCGCAUCACAACCGCAUCGGAAGUCGUAUCAGUUGUUUUCGGCGAUGUUCCUUCAAAUUUUCUCACCAAAAAGUAAAAUUUAUGAACUUCAAAUCCUAAUUUGUGUCAAAUUAAUGAAAAAUCUUACUUUUAA